GGAAAAGAUAUGUGGGACGCACUCGAGGCCAAGUUUGGGGUCUCGGAUGCCGGCACUGAGCUAUACAUCAUGGCGCAAUUCUAUGAUUAUAGGAUGACUGAAGAGCGCUCCGUGGUUGAGCAGGCUCACGAGAUACAGUCAUUUGCUAGAGAACUUGAGCACUUCAACUGCAUGCUACCGGACAAGUUUGUUGCCGGGGGUAUCAUCACUAAGCUUCCUCCUUCAUGGAGGAACUUUGCUACCUUACUGAAACAUAAGAGACAGGAGUUUUCCGUUUCGGAUCUCAUUGGUACUCUUGAUGUGGAAGAAAAGGCGAGAUCAAAGGACACACGUGCUCGAGGUAUUGAGGGAGGAUCUAGUGCCAAUCUGGUACAUAAGAAAAACUUGCAGUCCCACAAGUUCAAGAACAAGGGCAAGUUUGAUGGUAAAGGAAAGUUUGAUGGGAAGAACAAGGCUGUGCAGCACACGAACUUCAAGAAGAAGAAUGACAAGAAGAAAGGUGCUUGUCACGUGUGUGGAGAUCCUGAUAAUUGGGCUCCUAGUUGCCCCAAUCGCUAUGACAAGCGUCAUCCUGGGAAAGGCGGCAAGACCGCUAAUGUUGUCAUCGGGGACAUUGACAUGAAGGAUGCUGGGUAUGGUAUAUUUCCCACUAUUCUUUCAGUAUGUCAUUCUCCUGAUUGGUUGAUUGACACGGGUGCUAAUGUGCAUGUAUGCGGUGAUAUUUCCAUGUUUUCGUCUUAUCAGACUGCAGGGACUUCAACCGUGCUGAUGGGCAACGGUUCAAGUGCUUCUGUUCGUGGUGUUGGCACGGUCGAUCUGAAGUUUACUUCGGGGAAGAUCGUGCGACUGAAGAACGUGCAUUAUGUCCCCUCCGUCAAUAAAAAUCUUGUUAGCGGAUCUCUUCUGUGUAGAGAUGGCUAUAAGCUUGUCUUCGAGUCAAAUAAAUUUGUAAUAUCCAAGUAUGGAACCUUUGUUGGUAAA
rnacentral:rRNA from 1 species